rnacentral:rRNA from 1 species
UCUUGGUCAUUUAGAGGAAGUAAAAGUCGUAACAAGGUUUCCGUAGGUGAACCUGCGGAAGGAUCAUUAACGAGUUCAAAAGUCGGUCGACCGUGCUGGCGGAGACGCAUGUGCACGUCGGUCGCGAACCAUCCACACACCGUGAACCUAUGGCCUGGGGCUUGAGUUCAGACCCUGGGCACCAUUUUUACACUCUGUUUGUAAAGGAAUGUCUUAUAUCAUAUAAACAUACAACUUUCAACAACGGAUCUCUUGGCUCUCGCAUCGAUGAAGAACGCAGCGAAAUGCGAUAAGUAAUGUGAAUUGCAGAAUUCAGUGAAUCAUCGAAUCUUUGAACGCACCUUGCACCCUUUGGUAUUCCGAAGGGUACGCCCGUUUGAGUGUCAUUGUAAUCUCACCCCGAAAUCUUUUUUUGGAGUGGACUUGGACGCUGCCGUGUUGCAUGGCUCGUCUCGAACGUCUUAGUAUGCCCUGCCCGUCGGUGUAGACAGCGUGAUAAGUAUCUUCGCUGGUCAAGCCUCUCCGGAGGCGCACCUCGAGCAUGGAAGCCUGCUGCCAACCGUCUUUUGACAACCUUUGACAAUUUGACCUCAGAUCGGGUGGGACUACCCGCUGAACUUAAGCAUAUCAAUAAGCGGAGGA